rnacentral:rRNA from 1 species
ACGCUCGACACCUACGGGAGGCAGCAGUGAGGAAUAUUGGUCAAUGGGCGCUAGCCUGAACCAGCCAAGUAGCGUGAAGGAUGAAGGCUCUAUGGGUCGUAAACUUCUUUUAUAUAAGAAUAAAGUGCAGUAUGUAUACUGUUUUGUAUGUAUUAUAUGAAUAAGGAUCGGCUAACUCCGUGUCAGCAGCCGCGGUAAUCUGAGGCGGGCUGGCAAGGC